AAGUAUCACAGUUACAGAUGCCUGGAAUGCCAGUGACAAUGGGACAGCUAGUGCCAGGAGUGGUACCAAAUAUGCCUCACGGUGCACGCUCUGGAUGUUCUGCAUAUGCUGCCCCACAGGUUACGAGAUGGUUCUGGCUUCUGAGGUGUCAACACGCACCUUCUCAAGAACAUAGAUCUGCAGAAGCAAUGUAUUGGAAGAUCUCCAGUGACAGGAUGGCGAAGUAGAUGCUGAAAAACUGCAGAGACCUAAUGCAGUCUGGAGUCAGGAACCUAUUAUUAGUUGCUUCAUUCAUGUUAAGCUGACCACCAGCAGUAUCAGCAUUAGGAAUCGGAGCUUCCAUUAAACUUUCACAGUUUCUCAAAAGGAAAAUUAAGAUAAAGUCCUUGCAGUGCACCAUGGCAUUCUGAGUGCUGAACUGCUGGAGGAAAAGAGGAUCAACCUGUCAAAGUUCAUGUUUGGAAGAGCUGCUGUGAAUGGAAGCUAUUGUAGAGCUUUUAACCUUCCUGCUUAAUGGGACAACGUGCUUUGAGUGAAUACUUCGAUUUUUAAGUGCACGAUUCGCAGCAAUAAAUAUCUUUUGCAUUUUACUAUAUUUAGAAGCAUGGCUUUUUUUAUCUGUACAUGUAUAAUUCCAGGCAAGUAAAUUUCUGUGUUAAGCUCAAGAGCUUAAUGAAAAGGAAAAGCUUAUGGUCAUAUGUAAUAGGCUGUGUCUUAUAGAUGGGUAGCUUGCUUACACAAAUAAAACAUCAGA